rnacentral:lncRNA from 1 species
AUAAAUAAAAUCAAUAAAAAAAGUGUGUUAAAAUGUACCAUUUAGAAUAAAUAAUUAAAAUAAAAUAUUAAUAUUUAAAAAAUACAAAAAUAAAAAUUAUAUAAAAUUAAAUAAAACAUUAAGAAAAGUGAAAAAUAUUUUUGGGUAAUUUUAUGGACGAAGAAAAUAUUUUAAAUAAGAAAAAGAAAUAUGAAAAUGGAAGGAUUAAUGGUGAUGAACAUGGU